rnacentral:lncRNA from 1 species
UACGGAAGAAAGGAAAACGAAAGAAAGAAAGAACAAAAUAACACUUAGAUAGUGCAUUAGGUGCUCGCAUGUGUCGUUGAGGAGGCCGACCUACAGCGCCA